AAAAAAAAAAACACACAAGCUCUCGCUCUGCUCAUGGUGGAGGCUUGAACCAAAAGUAGCCAGGCCCGGCUCCGGAGCGAUAUAAAAAUAGGCUGCUUCCCCCACCCCAUCCUGUUACGCGUAACGCUGUGAGAUGGAUCCCGGAGUCUCCUCUCUGCCGCUACGAGGAAGACCAGGCGUGUAAUGCGCGCCGUAUGAUUUUCCCCAGGCAGGGCAGAGACCGCAGUCUCUGCUAAUGAGUCUCUGGGAUUUGUUCCUGCUGUGAAAGCACCGAGCACAGCCGUGGACGUCUGCAGCCCUGGGGCAGCGGAGCCCGUGCGUUGGACGGGGCUGACGGCUCGCCGUGGCAUUGCAGGAGCUUGCGUGGACUGUGCUAAGAUGGGCAACCAGCCAGCGCCGCUGCUGCUGAGCAUAUGCAGGCGGCCGGCUCCGUGUGCUCGGGAGCUCGGAGGUGAAACAGAGCAGCCUCUUCUUGAGACAGCUGCGCUCUGGCAAGGCGAGCUCGGAUCGAAAUUCGCCCCCACGCUCUCGCCUUCCCCAGGAGGAGCCAGAAUGUGGCAACCAAAUCCCAGGGCGAACCGGUGCGAAGAGGAGCGGGCUCCCGUGCGCUCUCGGACUCUGUUUUUUUUCCUCACCUGAUCCGCACCUUCCCUGACCCAGGCGUCUGGAAUCUGGGUGACUCUUCUGCUUUUCUGCUCCUUCCAGGAUCUAAAAGAGAAGAAGGAAGUUGUUGAAGAAACAGAAAAUGGCAGAGAUGCACCGGCCAACGGCAAUGCUAACGAGGAAAACGGAGAGCAGGAGGCUGACAACGAAGUAGACGAAGAGGAAGAGGAAGGUGGCGAGGAAGAGGACGAGGAGGAAGAGGGCGAGGAGGAGGACGGCGAUGAAGACGACGAAGCUGAGGGAGCCACAGGCAAACGGGCAGCUGAGGACGACGAGGUAGGCAGAGCAGCCCCGCCGAGCCCCCUGCGUCCCGAGCGGGUUUUGGGGCGGCAUCGGCGGGGUCGGAGACGCCCAGGCUGGGUGCCGGGAUCCGGAUCCUGCCCGAGCGCUUCCUGCUGUGUGCCCCUGGGGGAUGCGGCCCAGUUCCAUUUAUACGCUGGCCUGGUUAGCCAGGUGCUUGCUGUGGUGGCGUGGAGCCCUGCUCAUCCUGGGUUUGGGGCCCCAGCGCUGUGGCGUGGGACUGGGCAGGGGCGCUCCGGCCCCCGAGCCAGCUGCGAGAAGUUACCUGCCGCGGGGAACGCUUCUGGUGUUCUGCCGUGUCCCUGCAUCAGCAGAGGGACCCGAAAUCCCUCUGCCCGCCCGGGUGUUGCCCCCUCCCCUAACGGCUUCCCUUUCCCCCUCAGGACGACGACGUCGAUCCCAAGAAGCAGAAAACCGACGAAGAUGACUAGGCAGCAAAUUAUUAUUAUUUUUUUUUAAAUAAGGAGGAAAACAAACCAACAAAAAAGGCCAGCGCGUCCUCUUCACCCUUGGGACCCCCCCCCUCCUUCCUCCCCAGCCCGCCCGACGCA
rnacentral:lncRNA from 1 species